rnacentral:rRNA from 1 species
GAUGAACGCUGGCGGCGUGCCUAAUACAUGCAAGUCGAGCGAAUGGAUUAAGAGCUUGCUCUUAUGAAGUUAGCGGCGGACGGGUGAGUAACACGUGGGUAACCUGCCCAUAAGACUGGGAUAACUCCGGGAAACCGGGGCUAAUACCGGAUAACAUUUUGAACCGCAUGGCUCGAAAUUGAAAGGCGGCUUCGGCUGUCACUUAUGGAUGGACCCGCGUCGCAUUAGCUAGUUGGUGAGGUAACGGCUCACCAAGGCGACGAUGCGUAGCCGACCUGAGAGGGUGAUCGGCCACACUGGGACUGAGACACGGCCCAGACUCCUACGGGAGGCAGCAGUAGGGAAUCUUCCGCAAUGGACGAAAGUCUGACGGAGCAACGCCGCGUGAGUGAUGAAGGCUUUCGGGUCGUAAAACUCUGUUGUUAGGGAAGAACAAGUGCUAGUUGAAUAAGCUGGCACCUUGGCGGUACCUAACCAGAAAGCCACGGCUAACUACGUGCCAGCCGCCGCAGUAA